rnacentral:rRNA from 1 species
UUGGAGGGCAAGUCUGGUGCCAGCAGCCGCGGUAAUUCCAGCUCCAAUAGCGUAUAUUAAAGUUGUUGCAGUUAAAAAGCUCGUAGUUGAAUUUCGGGGUCAGUAGGUCGGUCGUGCCACUGGUAUGAACUGGUUUUACUGAUUCCUCCCUCUUGAAGAACUGUAAUGCCAUUAAUUUGGUGUUGCAGGGAAUCAGGACUGUUACUUUGAAAAAAUUAGAGUGUUUAAAGCAGGCUUUAGCUUGAAUACAUUAGCAUGGAAUAAUGAAAUAGGACGUUUGAUCCUAUUUUGUUGGUUUCUAGGAUUGACGUAAUGAUUAAUAGGGAUAGUUGGGGGCAUUAGUAUUCAAUUGUCAGAGGUGAAAUUCUUGGAUUUAUUGAAGACUAACUACUGCGAAAGCAUUUGCCAAGGAUGUUUUCAUUAAUCAAGAACGAAAGUUAGGGGAUCGAAGACGAUCAGAUACCGUCGUAGUCUUAACCAUAAACUAUGCCGACUAGGGAUCGGAUGAUGUUGAUUUUUUAAUGACUCAUUCGGCGCCUUACGGGAAAC